rnacentral:rRNA from 1 species
GGUUGUCGUCAGCUCGUGUCGUGAGAUGUUGGUUAAGUCCCGCAACGAGCGCAACCCUCGACCUUAGUUGCCAGCAUUCAAGUUGGGGCACUCUAAGGUGACUGCCGGCUAAAAGUCGGAGGAAGGUGGGGAUGACGUCAAAUCAUCAUGCCCCUUAUGACCUGGGCUACACACGUGCUACAAUGGGCGGUACAAAGGGUCGCGAACCCGCGAGGGGGAGCCAAUCCCAAAAAGCCGCUCUCAGUUCGGAUUGCAGGCUGCAACUCGCCUGCAUGAAGCCGGAAUCGCUAGUAAUCGCGGAUCAGCAUGCCGCGGUGAAUACGUUCCCGGGCCUU